GGCCAGUUAGCUCAGUCAGUUGAGCAUGGCGCUAACAACGUCAAGGUCGCAGGUUCGAUUCCCAUUCGGUCCC
rfam:Apaloderma vittatum contig19243, whole genome shotgun sequence.